CACAGAGUUAGCCGGUGCUUAUUCUGUCGGUACCGUCAAGGCUCCACGUAUUAGGUGAAGCUUUUUCUUCCCAACUUAAAGUGCUUUACAACCCGAAGGCCUUCUUCACACACGCGGUAUUGCUGGAUCAGGCUUUCGCCCAUUGUCCAAUAUUCCCCACUGCUGCCUCCCGUAGGAGUCCGGACCGUGUCUCAGUUCCGGUGUGACUGAUCAUCCUCUCAGACCAGUUACGGAUCGUCGCCUUGGUGAGCCGUUACCUCACCAACUAGCUAAUCCGACGUAGGUUCCUCCAAAAGCGAGAGGCCUUGCGGUCCCCCUCUUUGCUCUUGCGAGAUCAUGCGGUAUUAAUCCGGGUUUCCCCGGGUUAUCCCCCACUUAAGGGCAGAUCCCUACGUAUUCCUCACCCGUCCGCCACUAGGUAUUACUACCUCGUUCGACUUGCAUGUGUUAGGCAUACCGCCAGCGUUCAAUCUGAGCCAGGAUCAAACUCU
rnacentral:rRNA from 1 species